CAAUAGCGUAUAUUAAAGUUGUUGCGGUUAAAAAGCUCGUAGUUGGAUUUCGGCGGGCAGGGGGCGGUUCGAUCAUGUGUCGCUACUGCUCCAUUUGUCCGUGUCUGUUUGGCGGAGCUGUUCCGGGGUGCUCUUAAUCGAGUGUCUCGGAGCGCCGUCGGGUUUACUUUGAAAAAAUUAGAGUGCUCAAAGCAGGCUUUACACGCUUGAAUAUUCGUGCAUGGAAUAAUGGAAUAGGACGUCGUUUCUAUUUUGUUGGUUUUCGGAAAUCGACGUAAUGAUUAACAGGGACAGUCGGGGGCAUUAGUAUUCAGACGACAGAGGUGAAAUUCUUGGACCGUCUGAAGACUAACUACUGCGAAANGANNNGCCAAGAAUGUUUUCAUNAA
rnacentral:rRNA from 1 species